CUGCCCGCUGAGGCGUUUCCCUUCUUUUAUGGCAACAAGAAUGAAAUCUCUGUGGCUUUUCCUUUCCCUGUUAUCCGCCCCUACCUGUGUCCUCUCUCAGGUGCAGCUGGUCGAGUCCGGCCCGGGCGUGGUGAAGCCCGGAGAGACCCUCGCACUCACCUGCGCUGUCUCUGGGGUCUCUAUCACUAGCAGCAGCUACGUGUGGAACUGGGUCCGGCAGCCCCCCGGGAAAGGGCUGGAGUGGGUAGCACGUAUAUACCCACACGACGGGAGAAAGUGGUUCGCCGCGUCUCUCCAAAGCCGGACCAGCAUCUCUUCGGAUACCUCCAAGAACCAGUUCUCCCUGCAGCUGGCCUCCCUGGCGGCUGCAGACACCGCCAUGUAUUACUGCGCCGGAGACACACAGCGACAGGGAGCAAAGCGGGGCUGGUACAAAAAGGGGAAGCGGAUUGUCUAGAGUCACUCGGGGCCCUGUCACACUCAGUCUCCACUGGAAGCGGGGUGAGACACGGGCCCAAAGGAGGUUGGGGGGCGGGGAGGGGGUUCCUCGUCUCCUAACGCAGCUCCUUGUAACACGGACACACAGAGAUCCCAGCUCACGGCUCCCCCGGGGGGAAUCAGGUCUCGUUCCUAGCAGCCAUCACACAACCCUUCUGGGUACUAGCUACAGCACACAGCGCUGCAUGUCCCCCUCCGGAGCUCAGGAAAUCCCAGCGGGGUUCAAGUCCAGUUCCUUUAGCCCAAUAUCCUGUCUC